AUACUGAUGGUUCAGUGGUAGAAUUCUAAUCUUGCAUGUGGGAGUCUUGGGUUCAAUUCCCAGUCAGUGCA
rnacentral:tRNA from 1 species